rnacentral:rRNA from 1 species
AACGAACGCUGGCGGCGUGGAUUAGGCAUGCAAGUCGAGCGUGAACCUUCAGCAAUGAGGGGAAGACGGCGAAAGGGAGAGUAACGCGUGGAUUAUCUACCCUCGGGACUGGGAUAGCCGCGGGAAACCGGCGGGUAAUACCGGAUAACGUCCCCGGACCAAAGGUGCGAUUCCGCCUGAGGAUGAGUCCGCGUCCUAUCAG